CCUACGGGUGGCAGCAGUGAGGAAUAUUGGUCAAUGGGCGAGAGCCUGAACCAGCCAAGUCGCGUGAAGGAUGACUGCUCUAUGGUUUGUAAACUUCUUUUGUAUGGGAGUAAAGUGAGGAACGUGUUCCUUUUUGUCUGUACCAUAUGAAUAAGCAUCGGCUAACUCCGUGCCAGCAGCCGCGGUAAUUCGGAGGAUGCGAGCGUUAUCCGGAUUUAUUGGGUUUAAAGGGUGCGUAGGGGGGUAUUUAAGGUAGGUGUGAAAGUUUGUGGCUGAAACGUAACUGUGCCAUUGAAACUGUAGAGCUAGAGAACAGUUGAGGUAGGCGGAAUGAGUUGAGUAGCGGUGAAAUGCAUAGAUAUCACGUAGAACACCGAUAGCGAAGGCAGCUUACUAAACUGAGUCUGACACUGAUGCACGAGAGCGUGGGUAGCAAACAGGAUUAGAUACCCUAGUAGUC
rnacentral:rRNA from 1 species